rnacentral:rRNA from 1 species
UCGGGAAUUUUGCUCAAUGGGGGAAACCCUGAAGCAGCAACGCCGCGUGCGGGAUGAGGGCCUUCGGGUUGUAAACCGCUUUUACCAGGGACGAUAAUGACGGUACCUGAUGAAUAAGUCACGGCUAACUACGUGCCAGCAGCCGCGGUAAUACGUAGGUGACCAGCGUUGUCCGGAUUUACUGGGCGUAAAGAGCGCGCAGGCGGUCCAAUAAGUCGAGUGUGAAAGCCCCCGGCUCAACUGGGGAGGGUCAUUCGAUACUGAUGGACUUGAAGGCAGGAGAGGGAAGCGGAAUUCCCGGUGUAGUGGUGAAAUGCGUAGAUAUCGGGAGGAACACCAGUGGCGAAGGCGGCUUCCUGGCCUGUUCUUGACGCUGAGGCGCGAAAGCUAGGGGAGCAAACG